CUCUUUUUGCUUGCCAAUAAUUGAUAAGAGAUUGAUGCACUUUCCAUAUUGUUGAAAUCAGUUUCCUUCCUGUCUUAAUUGCAAUCACAAUAACCACGCUUUUGUAAUAGACCAUUCAGAAAACCCUAAAUCUCAAACACAAAAAUUAUCAUUCAGACCCCAAGAUUUCUUUAUCUUCAAUCGUGAUUGAAAGCAAACAGUCUUCAUGGAGAAAUUGAUUGAAAGCAAAAUUUAGGGUUUAUAGAAUUAGAGGCAGAAUUUAUCAGGAUGUUUGAAGUUUGGAAUCCAGGCUAAGGAAGUUGCUGGGUUGCUUGGCUAACGAAGCUGUUGUGACAAACUCUUAGCCAAAAUUGAUUGUUGUUGGCACAUGCUCCACUAUAUAAGUAUGCUUGAAUCUACAAGGAAAUUGCUUCAAAUCUUACCCAUCCAGGAGAAACUGUUAAUCAUGCAACCAUUGAUGACGAUGAUGAUGUGUACAACAUUCACAACAUGUAGAUCUUGUGAUAUACGGGUCGUUUAUUGAAGAACAAUCUUUUUUCCGACAUUCUAAUUAAAGCAAUGUGCCAUGAGAAACCAAUAAUAGGUCCUGACAUGUUGAUGAAAAGGUCAAUGCCUACCUCUUUCCUAAGGAGCAUAUAAUGGUUUUAAUUUUUAGCAUAGAUUAUAAUAACAGGAGGUAAAUUUUUCAAUCCCUAUUAGCUAUCAGUAUGUCAUUUGUUAAACUGUCCAAAAGAAGUCCCAAUGCUUUGUUUA